CAUUCCGAAGGGCGAGGGGUGGGCUUGGCCUCUCGAUCCUAGUUUCCCGGUCUCUCCCCGAGUCUGGGUCUCUGGGCUGUCCCCAGUGAGCGCCCAGGGGCGGCAGAACCCCAAGAGAUCUCAUGUGGCCUCACUUUGCAAGACACAUAUUGGAGUGCAGGCAUCUCCAGCCUGACUCAUGGUUUCUCUCAUCUGCAGCGUGACUGACAGGUUUCCUCCAGUAAGAGGUGACUCUUGAAGCUCUGCAGAAACAAGUGUGUGUGUGAUUUCAAGGCACGAUGGCUGCAAAAGUGGUUCCUAUACCCCCAAAGCCAAAGAGGUCCUUUAUACUGAGAGUUCCUCCUAACUCCAAGCUGGGCCAAGAUCUACUUCGAGAUGCUACUAGUGGGCCCAAGACCAUUCACCAGCUGGUGCUGGAGCACUUCCUCACCUUCUUGCCCAAGCCAAGCCUAGUCCAGCCCAGUCAGAAAGUCAAGGAGACCUUGGUUAUUGUGAAAGAUGUGAGCUCAAACCUUCAGAACAGAGUGCAACCUCAUCCCUUAGUGAAGCUUCUACCCAGAGAAGGAAUCCAGCAGAAACAGGAGACAGUGUCUCUGUGUUUGAAAGCUGAGUCUGAGGAGCUGGUGGUCUUUGAGGAUUUGAAUGUAUUUCACUCCCAAGAAGAAUGUGUAAGCUUGGAUCCUGUUCAGCAGCCCACCUCAGAGAUUCAAGACAACAGUAUUGGGGAGAUGAUGUUACUGGUCAGUGACAGUAAUCCUGAGGGUGAAGAUCUUCAGAAAGAACCUGUAGAGAAUGAAGAUCAGAGAGAAAAGUCUUCAGAUUAUAAUGAAAUUGAUUGCUCCGUGGUCUCUGAGCAACCUCCAGAUUGCCAGAAAGAGGAAAGACUAAAUACAUCCAUUCCAAAGGAAAGGAAAAUGAGAAAUCUUUUAGUUACCAUCGAAAAUGAUACUCCACUAGAGGAACUCUCAAAAUAUGUGGAUAUCAGUGUUAUCGCACUUACCAGAAAUCGGAGAACAAGAAGAUGGUAUACUUGUCCACUGUGUGGGAAACAGUUUAAUGAAAGUUCUUACCUUAUUUCCCACCAGAGGACUCACACUGGAGAAAAACCCUAUGACUGUAGUCACUGUGGGAAAAGCUUCAAUCAUAAAACAAACCUUAAUAAACAUGAGCGAAUCCAUACAGGAGAGAAACCUUAUUCAUGUUCUCAGUGUGGGAAAAACUUUCGUCAGAAUUCUCAUCGGAGUCGCCAUGAAGGAAUCCAUAUAAGGGAGAAGAUAUUUAAGUGUCCAGAAUGUGGGAAAACCUUCCCAGGAAACAAAGAAUUUGUGAUUCAUCUGCAGAGUCAUGAGGCUGAGAGGCCAUAUGGUUGUACAAAGUGUGGGAGGAGGUUUGGUCGGCUGUCAAACUGUACCCGGCAUGAAAAAACCCAUUCAGCAUGUAAGACCCGAAAACAGAAGUGGGAUCGGGAAAGGUCUGAUGGUCCUGCCUCAACCUGAAAUAUUCCUUAAGGAAUUCUGAAUUCCCAGGCUAUCUGAAAAGAUACAGAUAAGAAAACCUCAUUAUAGCCAAAAUUGGAUAAAUACCCAUGUUUGCUGAAACCUCAAGUUUUUAGAAAAUUCACAGGGGGGAAGAAAAAAAACAAAAACAUCCUCAAGGGCUAUACCUCAGUUAGCAACCAGGCUUUUUGGACUAGAGCUUUCUUUUGUGAACUUGUAUAACAAUGUACAGGUCACAGAUCCCUUCCCUGAAAAAUGCUUUGAAAUAUGAGUCUGGGGGCUGCUUACCUUCAAGGUGAAGAGUGAUGAGUGUCCUGAAAGUAUAUCCAGCUUUUCCCCCACAUAGGAAUUCACUCUUGAGAAAUAAUGUAAAGGUCCUUAUCUGGAACUGUGUUCCCCUAAAAGAACCAAACUACUGAUUUUUUAAGUCAACAGCUUCUAUUAGCAACUCAUAUAACCCUCUAAGGAUACCCUUAAAGCCUGAGAGUUGAAAGGGAUUGUUUACUUUGGAAUUUAGGAAAAUACAGCAAGUGAAUGUCAAGGACUUACUCUGUCAUUUGUAUGUGAUCUAAACUAACGAUGAAUUUCAAUAACAUUUGCAGUUUGUGGUGAAAAGUGACUGUUUUACAGAAAUCCUUUUCACAGCGUAAUUUAAAAGUGUCUACUGUUCUCACUGUAUUUUGUUCUGCAGUUAAUUGCUCACACAGCUCUCUCAUGCCUUUCCCUUGCCAAAAGAAGUUUGGGUAGCUCAGGCCUGGCCACCCAGCCCUGCUCCUGGAAAAGCUCUUUAGAAUCUUGCCCCUCUGUUGAGUCGAGAAGAAAACCUGCUAGGAAGGAAACCCCAAGAGGAGGAGGAGGACGUUGGCUUGGAUCCAUGGCUGGUUGGUUGAGGUGGCUCUGCUUCACCCUAGACUUCAGGUUGGAUUGAGGUCUGAUUCUCGUGUCACGUUCUGGAACUUGGACUAAAGGGGCAGCAGCUACCUGGUGAAGUCCUUCUUGUGGUAAUCAUGGCAGUGCAAGAGCCAAACCAAGCUGCACAAGCAGAUUUAAGGUCUCAUGUUUUGACUACUCACAUUUUGCUAAGGAAAGUCACACAGCCAAGUUCAAAGUCAACAGAAUAGGAAAGUAUAUCUUACCCCAAGGGGAAGUUGAGUGGGGACUGAAUAUUUGCCAAACAACAAUCUAUUACAGUGAUUGAAAAGAUAAAAAUCCUUGUCCUCAUGGAGAUUACAUUCUAGUAAAAAGGAUAAAUAUAAACAACUCAAAUGAAGAUAGUGUGGUCAGGAUAUUCUCACAAAUGUAAGAAAAGUUACAGGCACAAGGAUGUCUUACACAGCACAUUUGUAAUGAUAAAACACUGGAUAAGGGGCUUCUCUGGUGGCACAGUGGUUAAGAAUCCACCUGCCAAUGCAGGGGACGUGGGUUCGAGCCCUGGUCCUGGAAGAUCCCACAUGCCGCAAAGCAACUAAGCCUGUGUGCCACAACUACUGAGCCUGCCCUCUAGGGCCUGCGAGCCACAACUACUGAGCCCGCACGCCACAACUACUGAAGCCCACUCACGUAGAGCCCAUGCGCCACAACAAGAGAAGCCACUGCAAUGAGAAGCCCGUGCACUGCAACGAAGAGUAGCCCCCACUCACCGCAACUAGAGAAAGCCCAUGCGCAGCACCAAAGACUCAAAGCAGCCAAAAAUAAAUUAAAAAAACAAAACUAAACUAAAAAACACUGGACAACCUAAAUG